rnacentral:rRNA from 1 species
UACAGAGGGGGCAAGCGUUGUUCGGAAUUACUGGGCGUAAAGGGCGCGUAGGCGGCCCGUUAAGUCAGACGUGAAAUCCCUCGGCUCAACCGGGGAACUGCGUCUGAUACUGGCGGGCUUGAAUUCGGGAGAGGGAUGUGGAAUUCCAGGUGUAGCGGUGAAAUGCGUAGAUAUCUGGAGGAACACCGGUGGCGAAGGCGGCAUCCUGGACCGACAUUGACGCUGAGGCGCGAAAGCCAGGGGAGCAAACGGG